GCCGGGCGUGGUGGCUCACGCCUGUAAUCCCAGCACUUUGGGAGGCCGAGGCCGGUGGAUCACCUGAGGUCAGGAGUUUGAGACUAGCCUGGCCAACACGGUGAAACCCUGUCUCUA
rnacentral:sRNA from 1 species